UGUAUAUAGCAAGCUCUCUAUAGACUGGGC
rnacentral:piRNA from 1 species